ACUCCUACGGGAGGCAGCAGUGGGGAAUAUUGGACAAUGGGCGAAAGCCUGAUCCAGCCAUGCCGCGUGUGUGAAGAAGGUCUUCGGAUUGUAAAGCACUUUAAGUUGGGAGGAAGGGUUGUAGAUUAAUACUCUGCAAUUUUGACGUACCGACAGA
rnacentral:rRNA from 1 species